ACUCCCACAGGGCGCCCCAGGACCACGCGGAAUGCCAGGACCCCCAGGAGCACCCGGCCAGCCCGGAUACCAGGGAGCCCGUGGAGAGCCCGGCGAGCCCGGACCCCCCGGAAACUCUGGAAACCGUGGAUUCAGCGGACCCCCAGGACCCCCCGGACCUGAUGUGAGUACUACCCCUUACAA